rnacentral:SRP_RNA from 3 species
GGCGGGUCGCCUUGCAUGGUGAUUUUCAGCAACGGGUCAGGGACGGGAGUCAGCAGCCCACUGGAAAAAGUCAGUGCCAAGGGUUCGGCUCGCCUCC